rnacentral:tRNA from 1 species
UGUGAGGCCGCCGGUGGACGGAUAUUGUUGAUGUCAGUAGUAGAGACGUAGUCUGCCUCAUAG